GCUCCUCCCUCUCCCUUCCACUCUGCGCUGGGGAGGGGGCCCGGGGAAGACGUGGCUUCAGCCUUACCCCGGAGGAUGAGAGGGCUUGGGCUGGGUGGAGGCGGAUGAGGGGAAGCACGGAGAUGCUCCUUCCCUCUCACUGGGGAUGCAGCAGCAGGUGGCGGCGACGUGGCCCGUGGAGGCCUGGCGCCCACAGGCGCGGAGAUGGACCCGGUCCAGGCAGGAGCGCGGUGAAGGUGGCUGUGGGCGCGUGGAUGUGUAAGACACGCUCCCACCCACGUGGUGUACAGGGGGACCUGAGGACGCGGGUGAAGGAGAAGCCACCUCCUUCCUCUGGUCUCCCUCCCUCCUUCCUGGACAUUUUGCUCCUGCGUUGUCUCUUCAUCAUGGAAGCAAAGGUCGCUAGACUCCCUGCUCUGAGCUCCUCCUACCUUCUCCAGAACUGGAGGAUGGCCAGGUGGUUGGGGGGCAGCUGUGUCCUCGUGAUCAAACCAACCCCCCCCCACGCCCCCGUGGCAGCGCCUCCCCGCGCCACCCCUUUGUCCGGUUGCCCACCUUGGGGACCCUAUCACCUGCCUUGGGCGCCUUCCUGUUUCUGGAUUUGGGACUUCUCAGACCGGGGUUCAAAUCUGGGCCCCUCCAGUUUCCUGCAGUAUGUUCCCUAAGGUACCCAUCUCCAGUAAAAUGGAGUGUUUGUCCCCUAAAGCUUGUGGCUAAGUCCUAGUACAUAAGGUGCUCUAUCAGUGUGAAUGUGUACUUGCUAUAAGGUGUGCAGCCUGUCUCCUGCUCCUCUGAGACCUCACCAAUAGACACCCCAAAGCCCAGGAAAGUGGGGAAAGGGUCGUGAAAUGCCCUCGUAGCAGACAGGGAACAUUGCUUUUCAAGAUGAGGGAGGUGACUUGCUGGAGUCCACUGGGUGCCUCAAAGCAGAGCUGGGCCCAGAACCCAGGCACCCUGGUUCCCAGGCUCCCACACCCCACUGUGGCCCCCUCUUCCACAGCUGGGUGCAGGGAGUCUCGCUUCCCCACUCCUCAGAGGCCCUCCCAUUCUUGCUACAGGAUAGGAACCACCUGCUGCCUCACCCACAGGACCCAGCCCACGCCCCUUCCUGAUGCUUCUGCCCUCUUCCUCUCUGGAAUGGUGUAGGGAGGAGAGGCAGAAGACGAAGACGGACCCUGCAGAGGGGGGAUCCUGCCUGCCCAGGAAUGCCCCUCACUCUCCACAGGGCGGAUCCCCUCCCUAAGGGGCUUUGAGCAACAUCAGGGCCUGAGCUGGUUUUGUUGGCCCAGUUUCAGGAUACUUCCUCUUAUUAUGAUGAUGAUGAUGAUGGAGAUGUCAAUAACUCUCGUAGAAAAACCCUGCAAACCCACCCAAACAGAAACCUGUAUCUUAAGACACAGUGGCCCAAAGGCAGCACUUUACUGGGAAAAAUACUUCGCGUCCCAGCCCAUAUGCAACAGUUGAGAUGCAGCAUUUCCCAGUGAACUUGGGGGAAACACCUCUAAAUUUCCCCACCAGUUUUUAUGAUUGGCAGCAGGUCCACAGAAACUCCAGAAGACCUGUUUCCUGGGGCUGUAUUGGCAGCCGACCCUUUUUCAGCCCAGACUUCCCAAAACGCAGACAUCUAACUUGGUCAGGGAACCCAGUGCCUACAGCAAAGGAAAGCUCCGAGCUUGUAAUCCAUGCAUAACCAGUAUCUGGGCCCCACUAUUCCAGGAAACAGGGCAGCCUCUGGGGAAACAUGAGUUGAUGGCACAGGCAUCUCAUUCAUGGUUCACAAAGAUUUGAAGAAUGUUGGCCUGUGCUGUAGCCAAAGCCAGCAUGUUCACCUUUACAGUGUGUGUAUGGGGCCGGACAGGAAGCCGCAGGGUGCCCAUUUCCAGUGGAGGAGCAUCUCCCCAAGUUUCUAAGGAGCAUUCACUCAAGUCAGGCACCGUGCUGGGCACAGGGAUGCAAAGAUGGAUUUGAUAAGCCCUCUGUCCUCUGGGUCCUCCUGCAUUUAUAGAGGGCCUAGCCCAGGCCAGGUACUCCAGUUACUAAGGGCUUCAUCUGCGGGAGCUUGUUUUAACGUCACCAAAGCCUGUAAGGCAUUACCAAGUGCUACUCUUGGAAGCAUAAGGAAAGCGACUACAUCUGUCUGCAGGGACUGCAGCUGGCUACACAGAGGAGAUGGCAUUUGAGUUGGGUCUCCAGGCAUGAUGUUUUGCAGUUUUCCAAGCCUUUGGCACCCCAUAUUUCACUGGCCCUUGUCACAUACAUGAGAGUUUGGUCGGGAUGAUUCCUCAGCCUCAAAGCUGAUAGCUGGCAGACCCCACGACUUGAACCUGGGGCUUCCUCCUGGGUCGUCUCGUCCUGAUAAGUCUGGAUAAUUUUGUAUGGCUCUUUAUGGUUUGCCAAGGACGUCCGCCUCCCUGAGUCCACUUCUCCUGACUGUGUCAGCAUCUCCAGCUUCAAAGAAAGAAAAUGCCAGGCCAGGAAGGGGCAACACCUACCCGGCAGAGCCUCUGGUCUGCAGGGGGCCUGGAGGGUGGCUCAUGGGGCUCAUCCAGACAGGCUGGGCCUCCGGGGUGAGCAGCAGUUUGAACCAGGUGUGUUCGUGCUAACAGGACGGCCCAGGUAAGGAGAGGGCUUGUGUGGGGGUGACAUAAAGGACAGGUAAAAGGAAGAGGACUCAAACACUGCUUUCUGUGGGAAAGGGGGCUUUAGGGUCUGAAAUCUUCCUUUGUGACACCCAUAUUAAAGUGGUUAUCAGAAUAAAAUGACCCAACCAACCAAGCUCAGGAAGCAGGAAGAGACUUGGACUCAAGACAACUGAGGAGAGAUGAGAAAAGAAAACAGGUCCCUGAAAGAGGGGGUCAUCAACUUCAAACAUCUGGAGGGUUUUCUGACAGGAGAGGGUUUGACAAGCUUUGAUGUGUGGCCCCAAAGGGUAAACUAGGCCACCAGGGAGACGGUGGUUUUCUUCAGGAUUUGGAAGAGUGACACUUAGAGCAAUGAUUGGUGAAUUACAAUUCAUGGGCCAAAUCUGGCCCGCUGACUACUUCUGUAAAUAAAGUUUUGUUGGACCACAGGC
ensembl:lncRNA